GAUGAACGCUGGCGGCGUGCCUAAUACAUGCAAGUCGAGCGAACGGACGAGAAGCUUGCUUCUCUGAGUUUAGCGGCGGACGGGUGAGUAACACGUGGAUAACCUACCUAUAAGACUGGGUUAACUUCGGGAACCCGGAGCUAAUACCGGAUGAUAUUUUAAACCGCAUGGUUCAAAAGUGAAAGACGGUCUUGCUGUCACUAAUAGAUGGAUCCGCGCUGCAUUAGCUAGUUGGUAAGGUAACGGCUUACCAAGGCAACGAUGCAUAGCCGACCUGAGAGGGUGAUCGGCCACACUGGAACUGAGACACGGUCCAGACUCCUACGGGAGGCAGCAGUAGGGAAUCUUCCGCAAUGGGCGAAAGCCUGACGGAGCAACGCCGCGUGAGUGAUGAAGGUCUUCGGAUCGUAAAACUCUGUUAUUAGGGAAGAACAUAUGUGUAAGUAACUGUGCACAUCUUGACGGUACCUAAUCAGAAAGCCACGGCUAACUACGUG
rnacentral:rRNA from 1 species